GGAGUCGGCUACAUCACAUCUUGAAGUGAAGCUACAGUUAGCAGGGGAUUAAGGAAAUCAAUGCUCAUCCCACCUCACAACUAUUACUGCUACGUUGAUUCUAUGAAUGAGGUGAACCACAGAACAGAUGGAUGGAAAAAGAGUGCAUCCUUUGGUAUGAAAGCAUCCUGUACUAUGGUAAACUGGAUGCUCAUGGGUCGUCCGUAUUCCUGAGGCUUAUGUUCUGGUGGCGGCAUUACCCAAAAUCCACUCGUGGUUGUCCCCUGGCCUCCACCUCGUACAUAAGACCAUAGAACUUGCCUAGUUAUGAAUCAUGAAACAAUGGAGCUGUUAACUACAAGUGUCAGUACAAGGCAACAGCCACCUUCAAAUCUCUAGAAGUCAACUGCCUGUAUAUCCACAUCUGACAGUGUAGUCAAGUGCCAGUCUUUAUUGUACUCUUGUUACUUGACUAUGAUGCCUAUUAAAAACUGAUAGUUCAAAACAUACUCUCUCACUAAAGUCAAUACUGCAACAUCAGUUGCCACCCACUAGCUGUACAUACAGUAUGCUGGACCCCUUCUGAAGCUUAGUACACUCCAUCAGUGCACUACCCAGUAUUAUUAUUAUUAUAAUCAAGGGGGAAGCGCUAAACCCGGAAGAUUAUACAGCGCCUGGGGGGGGGGGAUGUGGAAGGCAUUCAGGCUUAAUUCAGGGAACUGGAGCACAGAUCCAAUUCCCUAAAUCAAGAGCCCCUCACCAGCACUACCCAGUAGCUCUGAUCAUUACUAUUACACCCUCAACACCUCUAGUCUUCAAGAUCUUAUCCUGUUUAUUUAAUCAUAACCAAGCUUUAAACCCUUAAGGGUCAUACUAUCCUUUGUUUAGCCUUUAUCAUUAAUACUUGUAAUCCUAUUUGUAACAAUAAUUAAAAAGACAUAAGAAGUUCAUGUUUUACUUUAUAUUAUUAUAAUAGUCUAUUAAUAAA